rnacentral:rRNA from 1 species
UCGAUGAAGAACGCAGCGAAAUGCGAUAAUUAAUGUGAAUUGCAGAAUUCAGUGAAUCAUCGAAUCUUUGAACGCACCUUGCGCUCCUUGGUAUUCCAAGGAGCAUGCCUGUUUGAGUGUCAUUAAAUUCUCAAUCCUUUUUCAUUGUAAUGAAGGCUUGGACUUGGAGUGUUUGCUGUGCUUGACAAAAGUGCGGCUCCUCUUAAAUUUAUUAGCUGUUGCCCUCCUUUAUAGGCUUUGGUUUGAUAAUUAUCUAUGCCAUCGCUUGUGGAAGCAAGCAAACAAUUGGCUUCUAAUGGUCUUUCUGAGACAAUUCUUUGACAUUUGACCUCAAAUCAGGUAGGACUACCCGCUGAACUUAA